rnacentral:rRNA from 1 species
UACGUAGGGUGCAAGCGUUGUCCGGAAUCACUGGGCGUAAAGAGCUCGUAGGCGGUUUGUUGCGUCGGCUGUGAAAACCCGGGGCUCAACCCCGGGCCUGCAGUCGAUACGGGCAAACUAGAGUGCGGUAGGGGAGACUGGAAUUCCUGGUGUAGCGGUGAAAUGCGCAGAUAUCAGGAGGAACACCCGUGGCGAAAGCAGCUCUCUGGGACGGUACUGACGCUGAGACGCGAAAGCGUGGGGAGCAAACAGG